rnacentral:rRNA from 1 species
UGCACCGCUGACGACCGGCGCACGGGUGCGUAACGCGUAUACAAUCUACCUUAUAGAGGGGAAUAGCCCAGAGAAAUUUGGAUUAAUGCCCCAUAGUAUUAUUGAAUAGCAUUAUUUAAUAAUUAAACAUUUAUGGCUAUAAGAUGAGUAUGCGUUCUAUUAGCUAGAUGGUAAGGUAACGGCUUACCACGGCUACGAUAGAUAGGGGUCCUGAGAGGGAGAUCCCCCACACUGGUACUGAGACACGGACCAGACUCCUACGGGAGGCAGCAGUGAGGAAUAUUGGACAAUGGGCGAGAGCCUGAUCCAGCCAUGCCGCGUGCAGGAAGACGGCCCUAUGGGUUGUAAACUGCUUUUACAGAGGAAGAAACACCCCGACGUGUCGGGACUUGACGGUACUCUGCGAAUAAGGAUCGGCUAACUCCGUGCCAGCAGCCGCGGUAAUACGGAGGAUCCAAGCGUUAUCCGGAAUCAUUGGGUUUAAAGGGUCCGUAGGCGGG